rnacentral:rRNA from 1 species
GUCAGGAUGAACGCUGGCGGCGUGCCUAACACAUGCAAGUCGAACGAAGCAGUAUCGGACGGAGAUUCGUCGAAGACUGGUAUGACUUAGUGGCGGACGGGUGAGUAAUGUAUGAGCAACCUGCCUUUCAGAGGGGGACAACAGUUGGAAACGACUGCUAAUACCGCGUAACGUAUUUAGGAGGCAUCUCCUGAAUACCAAAGGAGCAAUCCGCUGAAAGAUGGGCUCAUAUCUGAUUAGCUUGUUGGCGGGGUAACGGCCCACCAAGGCGACGAUCAGUAGCCGGACUGAGAGGUUGAACGGCCACAUUGGGACUGAGAUACGGCCCAGACUCCUACGGGAGGCAGCAGUGGGGAAUAUUGGGCAAUGGGCGAAAGCCUGACCCAGCAACGCCGCGUGAAGGAAGAAGGUCUUCGGAUUGUAAACUUCUUUUAUGAGGGACGAAGGACGUGACGGUACCUCAUGAAUAAGCCACGGCUAACUACGUGCCAGCAGCCGC